UUCAGUGCCUUCCACAGCCGCGCUCAUUGCGCACUCUCUCCCGAAAGGAAAGCGAGUGCGACCGCAAACUAUACGGCUCCCGCAAUUGUACGCUGCGACGAUAAAUGUAUGCGCAUACGUCGCAGUAAACGACUGAAGUUGCACGAGCAUGUCGGAAGGCGUGGCGGUGCAAGAGCCACCAGGUGGCGCUCGCGUGCAUCUCGCUGGAACAUCUUCCUGAGCCGCAGCGUUCCGACGACCAGGAUGUCUAGGACUUGGAAGAGAACGAAGAAGGACAGGCCCAGGUACAUGCCGAUGAUGCCGCCCAGAUUGCCCAGCACGUGGGUUUCCUGCACGCGCACCACUUUUUCACGGGAAGCUCGAGUGCCGGCGUCGAGAUGGACACCAAAGCUUGACGCACCCGUAAAACUGGAGCGGGCAUGCACUGGGAAACUGAGUAGCACUAAAGAGGGCAAGGAUGGACGUGAAGCACGACGACGUGACUUGUAGUUGAGCUGGCCGAACUGUGUCGUGCGUAUACUCUGCCACCAACAGCAUAAUAAAUCUGUUUGCCUUCCCUCACUCAGAAA